AGGAGGAAGCACCGACGGGGAUACGAUGAAUCGACAAUACGUACAGAGACUAGCACUGUAUGCUCCCUUACCGAUGAUGAGCGAGAUACGCUAGACGAUCCCACAGACAGUGCAUAUAUACAAAUGGAACUACAAGAUACUGUUCCCACCGCACCGGCUUCUCCUCUUCAAGGCAUCCAUCCUACCACCCGCAAUGGAAGCUCCAUCUAUGCUAGUGCGCAUGCACCGCUGCUCUCACCCUCACUGUCUG
rnacentral:misc_RNA from 1 species